GAUGAACGCUAGCUACAGGCUUAAAACAUGCAAGUCGAUGGACCGGCGCUCGGUUGAGUAACACGUAUCCCACCUGCCCUUUACCCGGGGAUAGCCUUUCGACAGCAAGAUUCCUACCCGAUGUCAAGGAUGGGUGUGCGUUCCAUUAGGUUGUGUGUGAGGUAACGGCUCACCAAGCCUUCGAUGGAUAGGGGUUCUGAGAGGAAGGUCCCCCACAUUGGAACUGAGACACGGUCCAAACUCCUACGGGAGGAAGAAGUGAGGAAUAUUGGUCAAUGGGCGUUAGCCUGAACCAGCCAAGUAGCGUGAAGGAUGAAGGCUUAUGGGUCGUAAACUUCUUUUAUAUAAGAAUAUGUAUUAUAUGAAUAAGGAUCGGCUAACUCCGUGCCAGCAGCCGCGGUAAUUC
rnacentral:rRNA from 1 species